GACCUCAUGGCGCAACGGUAGUAGCGCAUCUGACUCCAGAUCAGGAGGUUGGGUUCAAAUCACGCCGGGUUA